GUUGUUGCAGUUAAAAAGCUCGUAGUUGAAUUUCGGGGUCAGCAAGUUGGUCGUGCCACCGGUAUGUACUGGUUUUGCUGAUUCCUCCUUCUUGUAGAACCGUAAUGCCAUUUAGUUGGUGUUGCGGGGAAACAGGACUGUUACUUUGAAAAAAUUAGAGUGUUUAAAGCAGGCUAACGCCUGAAUACAUUAGCAUGGAAUAAUGAAAUAGGACGAGCGAUCUUAUUUUGUUGGUUUCUAGGAUUGACGUAAUGAUUAAUAGGGAUAGUUGGGGGCAUUAGUAUUCAAUUGUCAGAGGUGAAAUUCUUGGAUUUAUUGAAGACUGACUACUGCGAAAGCAUUUGCCAAGGAUGUUUUCAUUAAUCAAGAACGAAAGUUAGGGGAUCGAAGACGAUCAGAUACCGUCGUAGUCUUAACCAUAAACUAUGCCGACUA
rnacentral:rRNA from 1 species